rnacentral:rRNA from 1 species
UACGGAGGGUGCGAGCGUUGUCCGGAAUCACUGGGCGUAAAGGGCGCGUAGGCGGCAGGCCAAGCGUGUGGUGAAAGCCCGGGGCUCAACCCCGGGUCGGCCAUGCGGACUGGCGUGCUUGAGCACUGUAGGGGCGGGUGGAAUUCCGGGUGUAGCGGUGGAAUGCGUAGAGAUCCGGAAGAACACCGGUGGCGAAGGCGGCCUGCUGGGCAGUUGCUGACACUGAGGCGCGACAGCGUGGGGAGCAAACAGG